GAUGAACGCUGGCGGCGUGCCUUAGGCAUGCAAGUCGAACGAAAAGUAGCAAUACUUUUAGUGGCAGACGGGUGAGUAACACGUAGGAAUCUACCCUUUGGUGAGGAAUAACGGUUCGAAAGGACCGCUAAUACCACAUAAGUCCGUAAGGAGAAAGACCGUAACUGGUCGCCGAUGGAGGAGCCUGCGUCCUAUCAGCUUGUUGGUGAGGUAAUGGCUCACCAAGGCUAUGACGGGUAGGGGGCGUGAGAGCGUGGCCCCCCACAAGGACACUGAGACACGGGUCCUACACCUACGGGUGGCAGCAACCGGGAAUAUUGCGCAAUGGAGGAAACUCUGACGCAGCGACGCCGCGUGCGGGAUGAAGGCCUUCGGGUUGUAAACCGCUGUGGAGAGGGAUGAAUUUUGACAGUACCUCUCUAGAAAGCACCUGCUAACUACGUGCCAGAAGCCUCGGUAAUACGUAGGGUGCAAGCGUUAUCCGGAUUUACUGGGCGUAAAGCGUCCGUAGGCGGUAUGGUAAGUGGUGGGUUAAAGACUCUGGCUCAACUAGAGAAAAGCUCGUCAAACUGCCAAACUAGAGCUAGUUCGGGGAUACUGGAAUUCUCG
rnacentral:rRNA from 1 species